rnacentral:rRNA from 1 species
GACAGCCAGGAUGUUGGCUUAGAAGCAGCCAUCAUUUAAAGAAAGCGUAAUAGCUCACUGGUCGAGUCGGCCUGCGCGGAAGAUGUAACGGGGCUAAACCAUGCACCGAAGCUGCGGCAGCGACACUAUGUGUUGUUGGGUAGGGGAGCGUUCUGUAAGCCUGUGAAGGUGUACUGUGAGGUAUGCUGGAGGUAUCAGAAGUGCGAAUGCUGACAUAAGUAACGAUAAAGCGGGUGAAAAGCCCGCUCGCCGGAA